rnacentral:ncRNA from 2 species
CGCACCCGUGUGGGAGAGACCGCCCGGAAACCACCCGGUGCGGCGCCGAAGGGGCAAAUCCUCCCCGGAACCUCUCAGGCAAAAGGACCUCACGGGUAGG